GCCUGGAUGGCUCAGUUGGUUAGAGCGCAGGUCUCAUAUUUCUGAUAUGACCACUUCUUAGUGGGUAAUCCUGAGGUCGUGAGUUCGAUCCUCACUCCGGGCA